GCGCAGAUGGCGGAAUUGGUAUACGCGCUAGCUUGAGGGGCUAGUGCCCUUCGGGGCUUGGAGGUUCGAGUCCUCUUCUGCGCACCA
rnacentral:tRNA from 1 species